GUGUCAGCCGCCGCGGUAAUACGAAGGGUGCGAGCGUUAAUCGGAAUUACUGGGCGUAAAGCGCGCGUAGGUGGUUUGUUAAGUUGGAAGUGAAAGCCCCGGGCUCAACCUGGGAAUUGCUUUCAAAACUGACAGGCUAGAGUACGGUAGAGGGUAGUGGAAUUUCCUGUGUAGCGGUGAAAUGCGUAGAUAUAGGAAGGAACAUCAGUGGCGAAGGCGACUACCUGGACUGAUACUGACACUGAGGUGCGAAAGCGUGGGGAGCAAACAGGAUUAGAUACCCCCGUAGUCC
rnacentral:rRNA from 1 species